rnacentral:rRNA from 2 species
UGGGGAAUAUUGCACAAUGGAGGGAACUCUGAUGCAGCGACGCCGCGUGAACGAAGAAGGCUUUCGAGUCGUAAAGUUCUUUUAUAUGGGAAGAUAAUGACGGUACCAUAAGAAAAAGCCCCGGCUAACUACGUGCCAGCAGCCGCGGUAAUACGUAGGGGGCUAGCGUUGUCCGGAAUCACUGGGCGUAAAGGGUUCGCAGGCGGAAAUGCAAGUCAGGUGUAAAAGGCAGUAGCUUAACUACUGUAAGCAUUUGAAACUGCAUAUCUUGAGAAGAGUAGAGGUAAGUGGAAUUUUUAGUGUAGCAGUGAAAUGCGUAGAUAUUAAAAAGAAUACCGGUGGCGAAGGCGACUUACUGGGCUCAUUCUGACGCUGAGGAACGAAAGCGUGGGUAGCAAACAGG